rnacentral:rRNA from 1 species
GACGAACGCUGGCGGCGUGCUUAACACAUGCAAGUCGAACGGAAAGGCCCUGCUUUUGUGGGGUGCUCGAGUGGCGAACGGGUGAGUAACACGUGAGUAACCUGCCCUUGACUUUGGGAUAACUUCAGGAAACUGGGGCUAAUACCGGAUAGGAGCUCCUGCUGCAUGGUGGGGGUUGGAAAGUUUCGGCGGUUGGGGAUGGACUCGCGGCUUAUCAGCUUGUUGGUGGGGUAGUGGCUUACCAAGGCUUUGACGGGUAGCCGGCCUGAGAGGGUGACCGGCCCCAUUGGGACGGGGAUACGGCCCGGACUCCUACGGGAGGAAGCAGUGGGGAAUAUUGCACAAUGGGCGGAGGCGUGAUGCAGCAACGCCGCGUGCGGGAUGACGGCCUUCGGGUUGUAAACCGCUUUCGCCUGUGACGAAGCGUGAGUGACGGUAAUGGGUAAAGAAGCACCGGCUAACUACGU